rnacentral:misc_RNA from 1 species
GAUGAAGAACGUAGCGAAAUGCGAUAAGUAAUGUGAAUUGCAGAAUUCAGUGAAUCAUCGAAUCUUUGAACGCACAUUGCGCCCGCCAGCAUUCUGGCGGGCAUGCCUGUUCGAGCGUCAUUUCAACCCUCGAGCCCCCCCGGGGGCCUCGGUGUUGGGGGACGGCACACCAGCCGCCCCCGAAAUGCAGUGGCGACCUCGCCGCAGCCUCCCCUGCGUAGUAGCACACACCUCGCACCGGAGCGCGGAGACGGUCACGCCGUAAAACGCCCAACUUCUUAGAGUUGACCUCGGAUCAGGUAGGAAUACCCGCUGAACUUAAGCAUAUCAAUAAGCGUAGGA